rnacentral:rRNA from 1 species
CGGCGUGCCUAAUACAUGCAAGUCGAACGCUUUGAUUUUCACCGGAGCUUGCUCCACCGAAAAUCAAAGAGUGGCGGACGGGUGAGUAACACGUGGGCAACCUGCCCAACAGAGGGGGAUAACACUUGGAAACAGGUGCUAAUACCGCAUAAUUUGUUUUUCCGCAUGGAAGAAUAAUAAAAGACGCUUCUGUGUCCCUGGUGGAUGGGCCCGCGCUGCAUUAGUUAGUUGGGGGGGUAACGGCCUACCAAGACCAUGAUGCAUAGCCGACCUGGGAGGGGGAUCGGGCACCCUGGGACUGAGACACGGCCCAAACUCCUACGGGAGGGAGCAGUAGGGAAUCUUCCGCAAUGGACGAAAGUCUGACCGAACAACGCCCCGUGAGUGAAGAAGGUUUUCGGAUCGUAAAACUCUGUUGUUAGAGAAGAACAAGUGAGAAAGUUACUGGUCUCACCUUGACGGUAUCUAACCAGAAAGCCACGGCUAACUACCUGCCAGCAGCCGCGGUAAUACCUAAGUGGCAAGCGUUGUCCGGAUUUAUUGGGCGUAAAGCGAGCGCAGGCGGUUUCUUAAGUCUGAUGUGAAAGCCCUCGGCUCAACCGAAGAAGGUCAUUGGAAACUGGGGAACUUGAGUGCAGAAGAAGAGAGUGGAAUUCCAUGUGUAGCGGUGAAAUGCGUAGAUAUAUGGAGGAACACCAGUGGCGAAAGCGACUCUCUGGUCUGUAACUGACGCUGAAGCUCGAAAGCGUGGGGAGCAAACCAGGAUUAGAUACCCUGGUAGUCCACGCCGUAAACGAUGAGUGCUAAGUGUUGGAGGUUUCCGCCCUUCAGUGCUGCAGUUACGCAUUAGCACUCCGCUGGGGAGUACGCCGCAGCUGAAACUCAAAGAUGACGGGGCCGCACAAGCGUGAGCAUGUGGUAUCGAGCACGCGAGACUACAGUCUGACAUCUUGACCCCUCUAGAGAAAGAGCUUUCU